ACGGGUUCACACAUUAGUGUGAGCGGUAGAGGAGCGUCGUAAUCGGGCUGAAGUCGUACCGUAAGGAGCGGUGGACUGAUUACGAGUGAGAAUGUUGGCAUUAGUAGCGAGAUGUGGGUGAGAAUCCCACAGGCCGAAUACCUAAGGUUUCCUCAGGAAGGUUCGUCCGCUGAGGGUUAGUCGGGACCUAAGCUGAGGCCGAAAGGCGUAAGCGAUGGACAAUCGGUUGAUAUUCCGAUACCACUAUUAUCGUUAUUAUCGAUGGUGUGACGGAGAAGGAUAGGAUGUGCUAGCUAUUGGAUGCUAGUCUAAGCGUUUAGGGAGUUAGAAUAGGCAAAUCCGUUCUAACAAUUCUGAGGCGUGAUGGGGAAGGUUCUAAGGAACUGAAGUGUCUGAUUCCAUGCUUCCAAGAAAAGCAUCUAGAAAGAGAAAUAGUGCCCGUACCGCAAACCGACACAGGUAGGUGAGGAGAGAAUCCUAAGGCCGGCGGAAGAAUUGCAGUUAAGGAACUAGGCAAAUUGACCCCGUAACUUCGGGAGAAGGGGUGCCUGCGAGAGCAGGCCGCAGAGAAUAGGCACAAGCAACUGUUUAACAAAAACACAGGUCUCUGCUAAAGCGAAAGCUGAUGUAUAGGGGCUGACGCCUGCCCGGUGCUGGAAGGUUAAGGGGAACACUUAGCGUAAGCGAAGGUGUGAACUUAAGCCCCAGUAAACGGCGGCCGUAACUAUAACGGUCCUAAGGUAGCGAAAUUCCUUGUCAGGUAAGUUCUGACCCGCACGAAUGGCGUAAUGACUUGUGCACUGUCUCAACUGCAAAUCCGGCGAAGUUGUAGUGCGAGUGAAGAUGCUCGCUACCCGCGAUUGGACGGAAAGACCCCGUAGAGCUUUACUGUAGCUUAGCAUUGAAUUUCGGUAUUGUCUGUACAGGAUAGGUGGGAGACUGGGAAAUCAGAGCGUCAGCUUUGAUGGAGUCAUCCUUGGGAUACCACCCUGAUAGUACUGGAAUUCUAACUGGAUGCCAUGAAUCUGGUGACAGGACAUUGUUAGGUGGGCAGUUUGACUGGGGCGGUCGCCUCCUAAAAAGUAACGGAGGCGCCCAAAGGUUCCCUCAGAACGGUCGGAAAUCGUUCGUAGAGUGCAAAGGCAUAAGGGAGCCUGACUGCGAGACCUACAAGUCGAGCAGGGACGAAAGUCGGGCUUAGUGAUCCGGUGGUACCUCGUGGGAGGGCCAUCGCUCAACGGAUAAAAGCUACCUCGGGGAUAACAGGCUGAUCUCCCCCAAGAGUUCACAUCGACGGGGAGGUUUGGCACCUCGAUGUCGGCUCGUCGCAUCCUGGGGCUGAAGUAGGUCCCAAGGGUUGGGCUGUUCGCCCAUUAAAGCGGCACGCGAGCUGGGUUCAGAACGUCGUGAGACAGUUCGGUCCCUAUCCGUCGCGGGCGCAGGAAAUUUGAGAAGAGCUGUCCUUAGUACGAGAGGACCGGGAUGGACCGACCUAUGGUGUACCAGUUGUUUCGCCAGAAGCAUAGCUGGGUAGCUAAGUCGGGACGGGAUAAACGCUGAAAGCAUCUAAGCGUGAAGCCUCCUUCAAGAUGAGAUUUCCCAUAGCGUAAGCUAGUAAGACCCCUUGA
rnacentral:rRNA from 1 species